UCAUUGCAUGUGUGCCGUGUCUCCUACGUUGUGUUCCAGCUAUUGUAUCAUUAAAAGACUGUUUUGUUGAAGAAUUCAACCUCGUCUCCUCGUUCCCUUGCUUCAGUGUAACGUGACAGAACAGCGGACCCAAUACCAAAAACCCCCUGGAGGGAGACAAACAAGAUCAUCUUCAUCUUCUCUCAGGACAUCAUGGGGACAGACGCAGCUGUCAACACACCAGAAAACAUGGAGAAACAGAGUUCACCAUCAGAAGCCAGCUGUCAGCGACGUCAUUUAAGAGUGACAUUCAACAACACCAUCAGCUGGAGGAUGGAGGACGGAGAAGUGUCUGGACUUGGUCCAUCUAUUGCUGUUUUCCAUGUUCGUGGAGUUAGUAUGUAAACUGUGUGCUGCUCACACGGCUUUUUAAAAAUGCAUUCGGCCAAUAAACAUACGCUU